rnacentral:tRNA from 1 species
GCCCGGGUGGCGAAACUGGUAAACGCGGCGCCCUUAAAAGGCGCUACCGCACUGCGGUUCGCGGGUUCGAGUCCCGCCCCGGGCA